rnacentral:rRNA from 1 species
GAUGAACGCUGGCGGCGUGCCUAAUACAUGCAAGUCGAGCGAACGGACGAGAAGCUUGCUUCUCUGAUGUUAGCGGCGGACGGGUGAGUAACACGUGGAUAACCUACCUAUAAGACUGGGAUAACUUCGGGAAACCGGAGCUAAUACCGGAUAAUAUUUUGAACCGCAUGGUUCAAAAGUGAAAGACGGUCUUGCUGUCACUUAUAGAUGGAUCCGCGCUGCAUUAGCUAGUUGGUAAGGUAACGGCUUACCAGGGCAACGAUGCCUAGCCGACCUGAGAGGGUGCUCGGCCACCCUGGAACUGAGACACGGUCCAGACUCCUACGGGAGGCAGCAGUCGGGAAUCUUCCGGGAUGGGCGAAAGCCUGACGGAGCAACGCCGCGUGAGUGAUGAAGGUCUUCGGAUCGUAAAACUCUGUUAUUAGGGAAGAACAUAUGUGUAAGUAACUGUGCACAUCUUGACGGUACCUAAUCAGAAAGCCACGGCUAACUACGUG